AGGGUUCGAUUCUGGCUCAGGAUGAACGCUGGCGGCGUGCUUAACACAUGCAAGUCGAACGGGAUCCAUCAGGCUUUGCUUGGUGGUGAGAGUGGCGAACGGGUGAGUAAUGCGUGACCGACCUGCCCCAUACACCGGAAUAGCUCCUGGAAACGGGUGGUAAUGCCGGAUGCUCCGACUCCUCGCAUGGGGUGUCGGGAAAGAUUUCAUCGGUAUGGGAUGGGGUCGCGUCCUAUCAGGUAGUCGGCGGGGUAACGGCCCACCGAGCCUACGACGGGUAGCCGGCCUGAGAGGGCGACCGGCCACAUUGGGACUGAGAUACGGCCCAGACUCCUACGGGAGGCAGCAGUGGGGAAUAUUGCACAAUGGGCGCAAGCCUGAUGCAGCGACGCCGCGUGCGGGAUGACGGCCUUCGGGUUGUAAACCGCUUUUGAUCGGGAGCAAGCCUUCGGGUGAGUGUACCUUUCGAAUAAGCACCGGCUAACUACGUGCCAGCAGCCGCGGUAAUACGUAGGGUGCAAGCGUUAUCCGGAAUUAUUGGGCGUAAAGGGCUCGUAGGCGGUUCGUCGCGUCCGGUGUGAAAGUCCAUCGCUUAACGGUGGAUCUGCGCCGGGUACGGGCGGGCUGGAGUGCGGUAGGGGAGACUGGAAUUCCCGGUGUAACGGUGGAAUGUGUAGAUAUCGGGAAGAACACCAAUGGCGAAGGCAGGUCUCUGGGCCGUUACUGACGCUGAGGAGCGAAAGCGUGGGGAGCGAACAGGAUUAGAUACCCUGGUAGUCCACGCCGUAAACGGUGGAUGCUGGAUGUGGGGCCCGUUCCACGGGUUCCGUGUCGGAGCUAACGCGUUAAGCAUCCCGCCUGGGGAGUACGGCCGCAAGGCUAAAACUCAAAGAAAUUGACGGGGGCCCG
rnacentral:rRNA from 1 species